AUUCAUAUCUUGUAGCGGAAAUACCUUGUCAUAAAAGUGGUUUUCCCAGGGAGGGGCUCAUCCAUUACACUUUGGGUGUGCUGCUGAUCCCUAUGAAUCCCCCAAAUGUGGGGAACUCAACUGCAUAAUUUGUGUUAAUAGGAAACUGCACUUGUUAUUUCCCU
rnacentral:snRNA from 1 species